rnacentral:rRNA from 1 species
AACGAACGCUGGCGGCAUGCCUAACACAUGCAAGUCGAACGAAAGCUUCGGCCUUAGUGGCGCACGGGUGCGUAACGCGUGGGAAUCUGCCCUUUGGUUCGGAAUAACAGCUGGAAACGGCUGCUAAUACCGGAUGAUGACGAAAGUCCAAAGAUUUAUCGCCAGAGGAUGAGCCCGCGUUGGAUUAGGUAGUUGGUGGGGUAAAGGCCUACCAAGCCGACGAUCCAUAGCUGGUCUGAGAGGAUGAUCAGCCACACUGGGACUGAGACACGGCCCAGACUCCUACGGGAGGCAGGAGAGGGGAAUACUGGACAAUGGGGGCAAGCAUGACGCAGCAAGGGCGGGUGAGUGAUGAAGGCCCGAGGGUUGUAAAGCUCGUUUACCCGGGAAGAUAAUGACGGUACCGGGAGAAUAAGCCCCGGCUAACUCCGUG